rnacentral:rRNA from 1 species
CCUACGGGGGGCAGCAGUGGGGAAUAUUGGACAAUGGGGGGAACCCUGAUCCAGCCAUGCCGCGUGUGUGAAGAAGGCCCUCGGGUUGUAAAGUACUUUCAGUGAGGAAGAACGCCUGGUGGUUAAUACCCAUCAGGAAAGACAUCACUCACAGAAGAAGCACCGGCUAACUCCGUGCCAGCAGCCGCGGUAAUACGGAGGGUGCGAGCGUUAAUCGGAAUUACUGGGCGUAAAGCGCGCGUAGGUGGCUUGAUAAGCCGGUUGUGAAAGCCCCGGGCUCAACCUGGGAACGGCAUCCGGAACUGUCAAGCUAGAGUGCAGGAGAGGAAGGUAGAAUUCCCGGUGUAGCGGUGAAAUGCGUAGAGAUCGGGAGGAAUACCAGUGGCGAAGGCGGCCUUCUGGACUGACACUGACACUGAGGUGCGAAAGCGUGGGUAGCAAACAGGAUUAGAUACCCCUGUAGUC